GAUGAACGCUGGCGGCGUGCCUAAUACAUGCAAGUCGAGCGAACAGACGAGGAGCUUGCUCCUCUGACGUUAGCGGCGGACGGGUGAGUAACACGUGGAUAACCUACCUAUAAGACUGGGAUAACUUCGGGAAACCGGAGCUAAUACCGGAUAAUAUAUUGAACCGCAUGGUUCAAUAGUGAAAGACGGUUUUGCUGUCACUUAUAGAUGGAUCCGCGCCGCAUUAGCUAGUUGGUAAGGUAACGGCUUACCAAGGCAACGAUGCGUAGCCGACCUGAGAGGGUGAUCGGCCACACUGGAACUGAGACACGGUCCAGACUCCUACGGGAGGCAGCAGUAGGGAACCUUCCGCAAUGGGCGAAAGCCUGACGGAGCAACGCCGCGUGAGUGAUGAAGGUCUUCGGAUCGUAAAACUCUGUUAUUAGGGAAGAACAAAUGUGUAAGUAACUAUGCACGUCUUGACAGUACCUAAUCAGAAAGCCACGGCUAACUACGUG
rnacentral:rRNA from 1 species